rnacentral:rRNA from 1 species
GCUUAACGCGAAGAACCUUACCCACCUUUGACAUGUACGGAAUUUGCCAGAGAUGGCUUAGUGCUCGAAAGAGAACCGUAACACAGGUGCUGCAUGGCUGUCGUCAGCUCGUGUCGUGAGAUGUUGGGUUAACGUCCCGCAACGAGCGCAACCCUUGCCAUUAGUUGCUACGAAAGGGCACUCUAAUGGGACUGCCGGUGACAAACCGGAGGAAGGUGGGAUGACGUCAAGUCCUCAUGGCCCUUAUAGGUGGGGCUACACACGUCAUACAAUGGCUGGUACAAAGGGUUGCCAACCCGCGAGGGGAGCCAAUCCCAUAAAGCCAGUCGUAGUCCGGAUCGCAGUCUGCAACUCGACUGCGUGAAGUCGGAAUCGCUAGUAAUCGUGGAUCAGCAUGUCACGGUGAAUACGUUCCCGGGUCUUGUACACACCG